GACGAACGCUGGCGGCGUGCUUAACACAUGCAAGUCGAACGGUGAAGCGCCUUCCUUUUUGGUGGGUGUGGAUGAGUGGCGAACGGGUGAGUAACACGUGAGUAACCUGCCCCCUUCUUCUGGAUAACCGCAUGAAAGUGUGGCUAAUACGGGAUAUUCUGUGUCUGUCGCAUGAUGGGUCUGGGAAAGAUAUUGUUUCGGUGGGGGAUGGGCUCGCGGCCUAUCAGCUUGUUGGUGGGGUGAUGGCCUACCAAGGCGGUGACGGGUAGCCGGCCUGAGAGGGUGGGCGGUCACACUGGGACUGCGACACGGACCAGACUCCGACGGGAGGCAGCAGUGGGGAAUAGUGCACAAUGGGAGCAAGCCUGAUGCAGCGACGCCGCGUGAGGGAUGGAGGCCUUCGGGUUGUGAACCUCUUUCGCCAGUGAAGCAGGCCUGCCUAGUUUGUGGGUGGGUUGACGGUAGCUGGAGAAGAAGCGCCGGCUAACUACGUG
rnacentral:rRNA from 1 species